ACUGUGCGCCUCAGAAGCCCAGGGCAGUGAGAAUCCUGCCUGAAGCUGUUUCCCUGUAACACUCCAAACUGCUACAAGGUUCUCCCCGAGUUGUGAAGCUGAGCAGCAGAAACUGUUACAGCAGCACGGCCAGGGGCUCUCCCUGCUGCAGCUCCUGCAUCUGCUCUGGCCAAGGGAACUCCUGCCUUUCCUCUAACCCUGCACAGGAAAUUCAAAUUACAGCCCGUGCUAGAGAGGGCAGGACUGCAGCAGCAGCAUCCCCCUGCCCGGGCCGCAGCGCGGAUUGGGGCUGGAUAAAAGAAACAUCCUGAUCCCACAACAACGACCUCGACACAAAGGCUUUCACUCCCAGGCAGCUUUAAGUGGCACUCACAAAUGAGCUCACACCUUGGUUCGAAAGCUUUUUACACGUUAUUUUACAUAGCCUAACACAGCAAUGAUAACAUCCCUCUUUUCCAAAUACCUGCACAAAAAAAUCAGUAUUUGUAAAAUGGAACAACUGCAGAAGAAAUCUCGAAAUAAUAAAGCAGAGCACAAUCACUUCCCAUUUUUUAAUAAGAAAAGAGACAAACUAAAUGAGGUACUGGAAGAACAUUCAAGGGAAAUAUUUGAGUAUCACUGAAACCUGUCACAUCUAUCACCGUGAAACGUGGUACUUAAGAGCCUCAAAAUUAGCUACAAACAGGAAUGAAGUGAAAGGUUGUGUCUUCAGUUUCAGUCAUGCUUUGUGUCCUUGGACAGUUCUAUUGAAAACGUGGGGGUUUUAUACAAAUAGAAUUAUUUCAGUUGGAAGGAACCUACAACAUUUAGUGCAACUACCUGACCAGUGCAGGCUCAAUUAUAUAUAUAUUUAUUUUUUUUUUCCCCAGGUAGAAAUCCUGGUGCAAGUCUACAAAAUACACAAAAUUAAACCAAAUCCUUUAAUUCCCUGAAGAUGUGAGCAUGGCACUGCCAUGAGAAGAGCUCGAGGAAUUUUUGGGCAGUGCUGCUAUCCCAAAAGUGGCUGAGGGCUGGAGAAAGGGGCACCAGAAAGGGGGAGGUGGCACUGCCACCCUUGCACAGCUGCUCCAUCCCAAGGCCACCACGCUCAGCAGGGAUGGAAGCAGAUUUCUGGGAAUUCUGUGUGUUUGUCAGGAGCACCCAGACAGUGGGAAGGCUCCACCAGAGACAUUUUUGCUAUUGAAAAUACAAAGGAAUACAGAAGCAGGAAGGUGGAAAAGAGGAAUAAAAGCAGGUGGGAAUGACAGAGCACAUGGAGGAGGGAAGGAAUGAAGGACAACAGGGAAAGAAAUGUUAUUUUAGCAGAGAGAAACACAAGCCACAGAAAAGGAUAAAAGGUGAAACUAAAGGAAAAGUAGGAACAAAAAAUUCCUUUUUGUCCCAUUCCCUAACACUGGUCCUAAAGGCACCUCAUUAAACACCAUCAGCAGCACUGCUAAAAACUUCCCUCAUACAAUUUUUUUCCAACAAAACUGGAAAUGAAGCAGUGGAGGCAGAGUCCUUCAGCUGACAGGAAGCACAAAGCCAAGUGCCUGGAGUGCCACACUCACACAGAUUAUGAGAAUUGUUCAUAAUGCUGCAGGAAUGGCCUUUUUCAUGACCUUUUUUUUUUUAAUUCAUGAGUCGGGCUAUGCUGAGACAAUCCUCAUUUAGCUAAAACAACCCAAACAUGCCCUAACUCCCCAGUUCUACAAAGUGCUCCACUGUGUGGAUCCCACCAGGCUCCCCUGGAUGGGAGGCACAAAUUAAUAAAUUAAUCAGCACUGAGAGAGUGCUCAGCUCCAGCUGCCACAGAGCACUGAUUUAUGCAAAGCAAUCUGAUAGUAUCCCACGGAGCUGUGAUCAAAAUCUGUCACCUGAUUUACAUCUCCCAGCACAACACAGCAUUUGUUCUCCAUUUUUUGGGCUCUAUUAUGUGGGCAGGUAAAAUAAUUCUAAUGACACAGGCUUCCUACUUAUUUUAAAGAGUCUGCAGAGGAGGGGGAAAGCUGUGUUUUAAGGGGUUUAUUUGUGUUGCCUAUCAAAAGUGAGAGUUAAAAAAGUUUAAUAGAUUUGUUCCACCUUUAGAUGGGCUGCAUCACUUCAUAGCUAAAAAAAGCAGUCAGAAAUACAUUAGCAUUUCAGACUAAAUAUAGCUGUCAAAAAUGUAAAUUUCUUUUUUAGAAAAGCCCCAUGUGCUAAAAAGAACUCAGCCUUUAUGCAUAAUAAAAAGGCAAAUAUGUCUGCUUAGUCAAUAGGCUGCUAAUUUAAUUACAAAACCCAUGGAGAGUCCUAAAAAAAAAAAAUCUAAGUACAUCAUGAAUACUUGGUUGGCUCAGCCUGAUUGCAGGCAAAUAUGUUUUAACAAAGAAAUAAACUGGUAAUUGUUGCUGUGUUCUCAUUAUAUAUAUAAUAUAUCCUAGUCUUUUUUUUUGUUUAAAAUUUAAUGGGAAAAUAAUUUCUAUUAAAUUCCUUCAAUUAUUGCAGUCCUUAUUGACCUUCUUUCCAGCAGUACUAAUAAGCCAACAUGUACUAAUUGUUAUUAACCUGACCCUUUUUAAUGGACUUUUAGCCAUAUUUUUUCCUCCCAGUAUAAACAUGUAACACAGAACUCCUAAAAUUUAAGAAAGUUUGAGACCUGACCUCGGAAAGUGUGCUGAUUUUAGAAAAAUAAGAAUAAAAAUCUAAGCUUAGAAAUGGUUCCACAUCACAUAUAAUCACUAUUACUCAUAAAACUGAGAUAUUCCCCACCACCAGACUGCAAAAGAACACACAGUUCACAGGCAUUCUCAGAAAAGCUUUGCCAGAAUGAUGAGUUCCAGGUUUUCUGGCAUUUCCCAAGCUCCCAGAAGCAUCAAGAGCCAAGAGGUUUGGAAAUCCAGCAAUCCCAACCACCACACUAUGGAUUAGGGACAGGGCAAACAACAUCCAGGCUGGAAAAGUGACCUAUUUAUCAGAACCCAUCCCUGCAGCUUGCCCCAGUCAGUCCAGGCUGCUCUCUCCCCUCAACACUUCUCCUUGUGCCAGGGAGGAAUGGGAUGCUGUGCAGCCAACCUGGUUUGGCUUUGUUUUUAAUUAUUAUUAUGAUUAUUAAAGCUGUGGCAUGGUUCCAAGUGUCAGCUCGGAGAAGGGAGCUGGGGGUGGCACUUGGAGUGAGUUAAAGUGACAGAGCUGCAUUUUUGGGCAGCAGGAAGCCAGCCAGGGAUUCCCCAAGCUCUCCCUCCUCCCCUCCCCAGUAUCUUGAAAGCAAACCUGCCAAGCCAGCACUGAACCAUCCAUCACCAACUUCCCAAAAUAUUAGGGACUGCUGCUCAUCAAAGAGCCUCCUCGCUGCAGUGCACAAGAGCAUCUUCUGCUUUCCAGGAAAAACUGCAUUUUGUGGGCAGGACGAUUUUAGUUUCCUCAGUUUGCUUUUCCAAAGCACUGUCUUAAGUCCCCCUCACCUUGCUUUUAACAAGUUACCUCCACAAGAACUCUGACACUCACCACUGGCUUUCACUUUCCUGCUUCCCCCACAUACUCCAACUAUUUAUUAUCUUCUAUCAGAGCUCAGAAUUUGUUGACAUGAUCCUGCAUUUAGAUCAAGUCACACACAAAUGCAGCAUACUGAAAAGAAAUUCUUACAGUUUUUAGAAUCAGUUCUUGAAAAUCCCCACUAUGUGAAGUUCUAACACACUACAAAUUAUAUUAUUUACAGACAGCCCAUGAAAAAAGACAAAAGUAAAAGCUACUCUGAAAGACACUGUAUUACAAUCUCAGUUUUCAUCAGUUGAGAGUUGUUAGACUGGCACUGAGCUCUGGUUUCAUUUUUCUUUUAACCCUGCAUUCCUCUUUAGCCAUUUUAGAUGAAAAGCCACCCGGGCUGAUUUAGUUAACAAAACUGUGGAUAACACGAUUUCUCCAGAAAGAAAAGAUAUUUAAAAGCAAACAAAUUAUAAACCUCACAGGGUGGCAGAUGAUUUGUGUUGAGAUACAAAGUGAUUACAACUUUGUGAGAACAUCUAAAUGACUUGUAACACCUCCAGAGCUCUGAAGUGAUGGGGAGUAUCAAAUCCUGACAACAAAACCAGAACAAAAAGUCACUCCCAUAUUUCAGGUAAUUUACCACCUUAACAGCAUUGAGCAACGCUGUCCAAACAGAAAUAAAUGCUGAUGUUUAGAAAUACAUGACAAUCGACAGACGUCUGGAGAGCUCAGACACUCUCGGCUUCCCUCACGCAGGCUGUGACAUUUCGCAUUAAAUAUCCGAGGCCACCGAAGGGGACACUCGGGGACGUUUGUGACACACAGGAACAAAUCGGCGGCGGGGAGUUCAGCCAAGUUCAGAAACCAGACACCGCGCAGCGCACAUUGCCACCUGUCCUCGGCCGCACAGAGCUCCCGGCUCCGGGGCCGCGCAAACACCGCCCCGAUGGGCUCGGCAGAGCAGAAAAGGGGCGCAAAAAAGAGCGGGGGCAGCUGCGGGUGGGCAAAAGCCGAAGGAGAUGAAGCAGAGGGACUCAGUUCCCUGAGUGUGAGGGUGACGAGACUGCCCAGAGAAGCUGCGGCUGCCCCAUUCCUGGAAGCGCUCAAGGCCAUGUUGGACAGGGCAUGGAGCAACCUGGAUAGCGAGAGGCUUCCAGGCCGGAGCACCGUGCAGCGGAGAUGCCGGAGGGCGACGGGGGGAGCAGAGCCCGGCAGCGACCAGGGCAGGAGGGACGCGGCACAUGGGCUGUACGAGCUGCACUCAAAAGGAUGCUAAAACUAAACCUGAGAUUUGCAUCUUUACACUCCUGACACAGCCACAACAGGAGAAAGGUUUGUAGUCAAGCUUGGACUCCAGCUUCUUGGAAUCAGCCACUUUCCUGACAGCUUUCAUGAAAUCUUCCUGAACUACGAAGUCAUGAUCAGCACGGAUCGCAAACAUCCCUGGGAGGGAGGAUUUAACAGUGUGAAGAGACAGAAUGUGAAGUUUCACCCAAAUUCAGAUGAAAACUGAUCCAGGUUAUACUAUCUACAUGACCUUCCCAUGUUUUGGAUGUUGGGAAGAGGAGGGAAUUCGCCUUUCUGAACUAAGGGAGUACUAAAAAGAAAACUUGUUUAAACUCUGAGUGUGCAUUUACUGUGUUACUCAGCCUGCCCGUGCAGGCAAACCCCAAGUGCACAAAUUUUAAUGUGAAAAAAGCAUAAAACAGCAUCAACUCUGCAGGCACAUGGGCACCAAGAGCCCUGAAUUUUCUCCAAAAAGGAGGAAAAUGGGUUCAAUCCCUGUUUCUGGUUCUAAUGAGACAGUGGGACACAUCAUGAUCAACCAACAAGUGGCUGGAUCAGAUCAGUUCAAUGUUCUGUUCCAGCAGAACACUUCUGAGCUCCUGGGUUUAAUCCACAGAGGAACAGCUCCAAGAUUCAGCAUUAUCCAAGAUUUAGCACAUCCAAAUGAAGAGUUAAGG